rnacentral:rRNA from 1 species
GAAGAGAGAGUUCAAAGUACGUGAAACCGUUCAGAGGUAAACGGGUAGAGAGUCGAAUUAGAGGCUGACAAUCAGGUCGUUGGCUAAGUCUGAGUUGGGCUGGUAGCACGUUAAUGGCUACCAGUUUGCCUGUCAGGCUGGCUACGGUUGUAUUUGUUGGUCCUGGAUCGCCGCGACGGCAGUGUCUGACCGGUUGGCGUUAGUCCCUCUGGUCGAUUUAGAUUCGUAUGAGUCUUCCGGCAAAUCGGACAUGGUCAAGCCGGCGUCGUUGGCACAGUCGAUAUAUAUAGCGGUUUAAGCGCUCCAGCUGUCGUCGAUUCCUCUGUAUCGAUGCGCUAAUCUUAAACGAGCUCACCCGUUGACAUUAUGGUGACGGUAGUUGGCUCAAUGACGGAGCAAAGAUCGCAAUGGCGGCGUUUGACUACGAAUCAUCUACCCGACCCGUCUUGAAACACGGACCAAGGAGUCUAACAUGUGCGCAAGCCAUUGGGAUUUUUAAACUCAAAGGCAAAGUGAAAGCAAAAAUGGUGAGAUCUGUCGUUUAUAUGUUGAUAAUAACAGCGGCGCAUCAUCGUCUCGCCUCAUAUCGGCUUCGGCUGAAGAGGCGCAGACUGAGCGCACAAGUUGGGACCCGAAAGAUGGUGAACUAUGCGAGGCGAGGUCGAAGCCAGAGGAAACUCUGGUGGAGGACUGUAGCGGUUCUAACGUGCAAAUUGAUCGUCGCAGCUUCGUAUAGGGGCGAAAGACU